rnacentral:tRNA from 1 species
CAAAUUAGAGCUUGAUUAGUAAAGCAUUUUAUUUACAAUAAGAUAUUGUCGUGCAAUUCGGAUUAGUUUGA